rnacentral:tRNA from 2 species
GCCCCGAUAGCUCAGUUGGAUAGAGCAACGGACUUCUAAUCCGUAGGUCGGGGGUUCGAAUCCUCCUCGGGGCGCCA